rnacentral:piRNA from 1 species
UUUUGAAAACAAGUAAGUGUU